GAUCUCAUGGGAACUGAACCUUUUACAUUGGCUAAGAGUCUAGAGAAUGUAUAGUUUUUACCCUCAGAGAUCUCCUGUGGCUUCUGAAAAAUUCCAAAACACAAAUGAAGAGGGGUUGCAGUAUGCACAGAACUGUCAAGCGUCCCUAAGCUGAAAUCAGAGAGAAGUGGAAAGUGAGGCCCAUAGAAAAUGACUGCAAAUAUUGUAAGAGUGGUGCCACAAUUAGCAAAGCCGAAGAAGUAAGUUUAUGCAUUGCACAUCACCUAAUUUUUUCCCUAUAAUAGACACGUUUAUUUUUCUUUUAAACAAGUUGUAGCACAAGUUAUUGCUAUUA